CACGGGGAAGGCACAGUGAGUCAGAAAUGCACGCCAGCUGUCCCUGAGUUGAUGUCACCCACCUGCCUCUUACACAUCGGUAGCACAGUCUGGCGCCACCUUCUGGACGUUCACACACAACUGUUGGGAAGGAACAGAACAAUGGAGGUCUUGGCUGCCAAAGUGUUAAAGAGACCAAGAAUGGAAUCAGAAGUUUGAGGAGGCUUUAUGGAGACAAAACGAGGGAUCAGGUACAUCAUGCAAUGAUACUCUCGGAAUGGUUAUCUCAGAAAUAAGUUUUAUGCCACUCAGUGAUAUUUUAAAGGAAGAAACUACACGUGGAGAUAACGCGAAGAAACAGC